rnacentral:lncRNA from 1 species
ACUACACUACCAUAUAAAGUAAAUACAUAUCCUGAUAUAGAUUGACUAUCAUUUGAAUCAGAUUAAAAACUAAAAUCUAUAAAAUCUUCUAAUUUUAGAUCAGAUCCACCAUAUAUAAGAAAAGCAUCUCUUGUCUUUUUAAAGUAUUUGAGAAUAUUUUUCAUAGUUUUUCAAUGAUUCUUCUUGGAUCUACCUGAAAUCGACUUACAAUGCCUAAAACAUAAGUUACAUCAGGUCUAGU